rnacentral:lncRNA from 1 species
UGGUCCAUUCAAAUUACUUAUAAAAGAGUCCACGAACCUUGUACACAGCCGCUCACCAAUGAAGUCUUUUAUUGAGAUAAUCCUGCGCUUCUCUAGAAAACCUUCCUAUUGAAGGCGUUCACAACCAAGAGUGUUAAUGCCCAUAUCAGCAAGGAGGUGACACCAAACAAGGCCAACUCCUGAGCCGUAUGUGUAGAAAUUUACGCCAAAUCUCAGACCUAAGUUGAUGCGAAGAAGAGGAGAAUCUGAACAUAAUAAUAAUAAUAAUAAUAACAUACAAACUUCGUGAAAGACUCAUUGAAGACUCAAGACACAGAAGCAAAACAAUAGCAAUCCAACCAUCGGUCAACCACUGCCUCCGCUGCAAGCAUCAGGCGAUCAUCAAAAUGCUAACCCAGGGACAUCUGUGGAUUCAAACUCUGUAACCCAAGAAAACGGAAGUGUAUGUCGUGUCCGGCACACACACGUCCCGAGACAAGGCAGCGAGUGUGGGAGAAUCGAGAAACUCCACAUUCGCUCCCGUCAAGAGAAAAUCCCCCACAUCACGAGGAUCACCGCAAUCGAUCAAAGCUAAGCAGCGAUUUUCUGGAUGUAACAUCGAAGAUCUCCGUACCAGAAGUCGACGAUGAUGUGAACACAACUCCAACGACGACACAAUCGUUGAAGUUGUGAUCAUCUGAAGCUCGUUGCUUCACUGCCUUGUUUUACAAUAAUUCUCUCAAAACCCUAAUAUUGCAUUAACUACAAUCG